UACGUAGGGUGCAAGCGUUGUCCGGAAUUAUUGGGCGUAAAGAGCUCGUAGGCGGUUUGUUGCGUCGGCUGUGAAAUCCCGAGGCUCAACCUCGGGUCUGCAGUCGAUACGAGCAAACUAGAGUGUUGCAGGGGAGACUGGAAUUCCUGGUGUAGCGGUGAAAUGCGCAGAUAUCAGGAGGAACACCAGUGGCGAAGGCGGUGCUCUGGGCCGGAACUGACGCUGAGGAGCGAAAGCGUGGGGAGCAAACAGG
rnacentral:rRNA from 1 species